rnacentral:lncRNA from 1 species
UAAGAAACCUUACUGAGGAAACAAAACAAACCAAAACAAAAUGGAGCAAAACAAAUGAAACAAGCAGCUAGCUUGCUGGAGACAUUGUCUGGAAAACAGUGAAAACACUUCCAAACAAAAAUAUAUCAAAGGACUAAUGCUUUGAGCUUAAUUCUAAAGAAACGUCAUAAACUCAAACUCUUGUUUAUGUUCAUAACAGAAAGCAACAGACUGGUAUAGUAACAUGUCACAUUUGAUGACUGCAGCAUAGAUGUCAGGAAUGCAGCUUGGGAUCACCUCCUUCUACUUAGAGUUUAGUUUGAAGGGAUGAGCAAGUAAUUUUUCCUGGGUUGAUGGAAAUCUGUUCUAAAGUCUGUUUUCUAACACUCUCAUAGAUACUUCUCUGUCCAUCGCUCUGUCCUGCCAACUCUGCUGUGAGUGUGAAGUUGUGGCAAGAGGGAUUUCCUAUUCCUAAUGUGACCUGGUGGACACCAACUUUCCUACUAAAUUGCCGAUGUUGCUGAGGAGGCAGCAGUAUCAAAGCCCUUGUGGAUGAAGAUAUAACAAGUUUGGGGAGGCUUUGGCAUUUCUGUACAAUGCUGCUCCCUGAUUGUGACCCAAGACUCAGAUUCUGAAGGAAGCAAAGCAAGCUGGAGGAAAACUGUAUGCCCUGUCUCCAAAACUCCAUAUUAUAGCUGAUCUUCAUCUCUGAUCUGAAAAGCUUCACAGGCCAGAAGAGAAUUGAGAUGAGGAAGGAAGCAGAGAAUGCUGAUGAAUAUUUCCAAUUACCACCCCAACUUACGUCUUGGUUCUUCACAUCAAACCAGAGCAGUUUCUUUGCCUUCACAACCUGCAGACUGACCUCUCGUGUGUACCUGUGGUGGAUUGAAGAAACCACUUGGCUAGCAAAGCUAAAUCACUGAAAAUGGAAGUAGUGGAACUACUUCAAAACCGUGCUUCUGCUUCUAAGCAAAACUGCACUGUAGGUUGGGACAUAGCAAGAGGACGUGCCCAAGGCAGGGUGGAAUUGAAAGUCACCUGUCUGAGCCACAGAAAGAAGUCAGCGAUUCCCAGUUUGAGACUCUUGCUUGACUAGUGACCCAGCAGCUGUAACGCUUAUGAUUACUGCUGAUGGAUUCCCAUGAAUCAGCCAGUGAUAUAAGCUACGAGAAUGACUGAAGCGAUUUGAAGUGACGGUUCUCCCUCUUCGGCAUUCAAGUUUGUGAAAGAAAGGAGAAGA